GAUGAACGCUGGCGGCGUGCCUAACACAUGCAAGUCGAGCGAUUCUCUUCGGAGAAGAGCGGCGGACGGGUGAGUAACGCGUGGGUAACCUGCCCUGUACACACGGAUAACAUACCGAAAGGUAUGCUAAUACGAGAUAAUAUGCUUUUAUCGCAUGGUAGAAGUAUCAAAGCUUUUGCGGUACAGGAUGGACCCGCGUCUGAUUAGCUAGUUGGUAAGGUAACGGCUUACCAAGGCGACGAUCAGUAGCCGACCUGAGAGGGUGAUCGGCCACAUUGGAACUGAGACACGGUCCAAACUCCUACGGGAGGCAGCAGUGGGGAAUAUUGCACAAUGGGCGAAAGCCUGAUGCAGCAACGCCGCGUGAGCGAUGAAGGCCUUGGUCGUAAAGCUCUGUCCUCAAGAAGAUAAUGACGGUACUUGAGGAGGAAGCCCGGCGUAACUACGUGCCAGCAGCCGCGGUAA
rnacentral:rRNA from 1 species